ACGAACGCUGGCGGCGCGCCUAACACAUGCAAGUCGAACGGAGCCUUUUGGAGUGCUUGCACUCCGGCAGGCUUAGUGGCGGACGGGUGAGUAACACGUGAGCAACCUGCCCUUCAGUGGGGGAUAACGUUCGGAAACGAACGCUAAUACCGCAUAACAUCCGGGAGUGGCAUCUCUUCCGGAUCAAAGGAUUUAUUCGCUGAAGGAUGGGCUCGCGCCCGAUUAGAUAGUUGGUGGGGUAAUGGCCCACCAAGUCUGCGAUCGGUAGCCGGACUGAGAGGUUGAUCGGCCACAUUGGGACUGAGACACGGCCCAGACUCCUACGGGAGGCAGCAGUGGGGAAUAUUGCACAAUGGGGGAAACCCUGAUGCAGCGACGCCGCGUGAGUGAAGACGGUCUUCGGAUUGUAAAGCUCUGUUGACAGGGACGAAAACUGACGGUACCUGUCGAGGAAGCCACGGCUAACUACGUGCCAGCAGCCGCAGUAAAAC
rnacentral:rRNA from 1 species